GUUUGAUCAUGGCUCAGAACGUACGCUGGCGGCACGCCUAACACAUGCAAGUCGAACGAAGUAGCAAUACUUAGUGGCAGACGGGUGAGUAACAUGUAGGUAUCUGCCCUUUGGCCUGGAAUAACACGAGGAAACUUGUGCUAAUACCGGAUAAGUCUUUACGGAGAAAGCUUUAUGCACCAUUGGAUGAGCCUGCACUUGAUUAGUUUGUUGGUGGGGUAAUGGCCUACCAAGACUGUGAUCAAUAGCUGAUUUGAGAGGAUGAUCAGCCACAUUGGGACUGAGACACGGCCCAAACUCCUACGGGAGGCAGCAGUGGGGAAUCUUGCACAAUGGAGGAAACUCUGAUGCAGCGAUGCCGCGUGAGUGAAGAAGGCCUUUGGGUUGUAAAGCUCUUUCGUCGGGGAAGAAAAUGACUGUACCCGAAUAAGAAGGUCCGGCUAACUUCGUGCCAGCAGCCGCGGUAAUACGAAGGGACCUAGCGUAGUUCGGAAUUACUGGGCUUAAAGAGUUCGUAGGUGGUUGAAAAAGUUGGUGGUGAAAUCCCAGAGCUUAACUCUGGAACUGCCAUCAAAACUUUUCAGCUAGAGUAUGAUAGAGGAAAGCAGAAUUUCUAGUGUAGAGGUGAAAUUCGUAGAUAUUAGAAAGAAUACCAAUUGCGAAGGCAGCUUUCUGGAUCAUUACUGACACUGAGGAACGAAAGCAUGGGUAGCGAAGAGGAUUAGAUACCCUCGUAGUCCAUGCCGUAAACGAUGUGUGUUAGACGUUGGAAAUUUAUUUUCAGUGUCGCAGCAAAAGCGAUAAACACACCGCCUGGGGAGUACGACCGCAAGGUUAAAACUCAAAUGAAUUGACGGGGACCCGCACAAGUAGUGGAGCAUGUGGUUUAAUUCGAAGAUACGCGCAGAACCUUACCAACACUUGACAUGUUCGUCGCGACUUUAAGAGAUUAAAGUUUUCGGUUCGGCCGGACGAAACACAGGUGCUGCAUGGCUGUCGUCAGCUCGUGUCGUGAGAUGUUGGGUUAAGUCCCGCAACGAGCGCAACCCUCACUUUUAGUUGCCAGCAUUUAGUUGGGCACUCUAGAAAGACCGCCGGUGAUAAACCGGAGGAAGGUGUGGAUGACGUCAAGUCAUCAUGCCCCUUACACCCUGGGCUACACACGUACUACAAUGCUACGGACAAAGGGCAGCAAACUCGCGAGAGCUAGCAAAUCCCAUAAACCGUGGCUCAGUUCAGAUCGUAGGCUGCAACUCGCCUACGUGAAGCAGGAAUCGCUAGUAAUCGCAGGUCAGCAUACUGCGGUGAAUACGUUCCCGGGCCUUGUACACACCGCCCGUCACACCAUGGAAGUUGG
rnacentral:rRNA from 1 species